GCUCUCGUGGUGUAGUGGCUAUCAUACUUUCUUAGGGUCCAGUGCUGGUCUCUAAUCCUUCUCCGGGUUCGUCUCCGUGUUCUCUAGCUAUGGAAGUGGUCCUGGGUUCAAAUCCCGGCGAGGGCC